rnacentral:rRNA from 1 species
AUUGAACGCUGGCGGCAAGCCUAACACAUGCAAGUCGAACGAGUGGCGGACGGGUGAGUAAUGUCUGGGAAACUGCCUGAUGGAGGGGGAUAACUACUGGAAACGGUAGCUAAUAACGCAUACCAUCGGAUGUGCCCAGAUGGGAUAAGCUAGUAGGUGGGGUAAAGGCUCAACUAGGCGCCGAUCCCUAGCUGUGCUGAGAGGAUGACCAUCCACACUGGAACUGAGACAUGGGCCAGACUCCUACUGGAGGCAGGAGGGGGGAAUAUUGCAAAAGUGGCGCAAGCCUGAUUCAGCCAUGCCGCGUGUAUGAAGAAGGCCUUCGGGUUGUAAAGUACUUUCAGCGGGGAGGCGUUACCCGCAGAAGAAGCACCGGCUAACUCCGUGCCAGCAGCCGCGGUAAUAC